rnacentral:rRNA from 1 species
AAAUCUUUAUAUAUUGGCCCUCUGAGCGUAUAAGCAAAUCAAUUAAAACUUUCAACAACGGAUCUCUUGGUUCCGGCAUCGAUGAAGAACGCAGCGAAAUGCGAUAAGUAAUGUGAAUUGCAGAAUUCCGUGAAUCAUCGAAUCUUUGAACGCACAUUG